rnacentral:lncRNA from 12 species
AUGAUGGCAUUUUCCAGAAGCUGCAUGGCAUACGAUGUUGUGCCAGACUUGAGCAUCAGCAAACCUGAGACUAUAGCUCUCUUCAUUAGGCCCGGCACUAAGGAAAUUUGCAAAUGUAAAGCAAUGCCACCUUUCUGUCUGUUUUUCAAAAAGUCAUUUUUCAUAAAGCUCUGUUCACUCUGUGUCUUCUAUGCAGCAUGCCUUCCUUCCUCCUUUCUGUCAUCAAGAUUACCUUCUCCACAAGGACAGAGCCCCUCCUUUCUGAGCACAGCUGCCUGUUUCUCUCUCCUCGGGGAUCCUGCCGCCCUGCUCACCUACCCCAGCACAAGCCAGGCUGUGCUAACCUUGUCUGUGUUGUUGGCACGGUCGUCUUUUCAGAGCUGGUCUCAGCAUAAGGAAAUAGACUCCAGUGACAACUCAGUGGUCUUUGGGAAGGAAUGCUCUGGAUGAUGAAAGUAGCUGCCAGGGGACUUUUCACGUUAAAGGAAACAGAGCAGGAGGUGAGUGCUGGGAAAUGAAAAUACAACGUUUUUGUGUGUGUAGCUUGUACUUAGGGUUUCUCUCAUCACAAACACAGAUGUGUAUGCCCACAAUGUAAGGUGACAUUCAGGGUAGGUAGUGAUCAGUGUGCAGAGGCCAGGGACACUCAGCGGGGACCCUCGCAAGUGGCACUCUUGGAGAGGGACACCCUUCCUUUCUCAAGAAUUGUCUCUUCAGUCGGUAAAUCAAAGGAACAUCCAGUAGAUUCUUAAGAGGGGCUGGAGAAGCCCUGGGGGGCAGUGGCUAUUUACUCAGGAAAAAGGAAACAUUGAUUUUUGACAGUCAAUUUUGUCCUGUUCAGUGGAGUGCCAGGACCAGCUUGUACCAACGCUUGAGGACCGCUUGUUACCUUUCCAGGAAUUUUGUGAGCUGGU